UCCCAGCUCUUAGUGAUUUCUGCCAGGGACACGCCCUGUUCCAAGAAGCCGGUGCCCAGACGUGCAGGGACAGAGAUUCUCACUGCUCUUGCCAUCUUCACUCUCUGCCUUUCUAUUCCCAAGGACUCACACUUCUUUCCAAUCUGUAAAACGCAAAGCUAAGCUGAGAAGUCCAAGAAAAAUGUGCUGGCAGAUUCAGUUCCUGGACCUCUUCAAAAUUAGAAGGAGAUUUUCAGGAGCUUCCUUCCAUGGAACAUGCAAAUGGAAAAUAUACACAUGACGCAAGUGAAAGUUUCAGCAGGACAGACUCCUGACAUGCUACAUAGAGAGAUGGUGGGAGGACGUUGCUGACUCCUGCCCAGUCACACCAGUGCUCAGGUUUACUCUGUUGUCAUUUUCCAUUUUGAUGGAAAGUAAUGAUAUUUGUGCAUCGAUGCUGGAAAAAUAGAACAAUGACCAGAAGUGGUUUUGAACACUUGGCCAGCUGCAGUGCCAUUCUGGCAGUGACAGAAAUGAUAUUCCUCUGGGAGACAACCUGUGCUCAUAAAUGAAGACCGUCCGUGGCCCUAAUCAGAACUUUACAAGUUAAGUCUUUUCAUGACUCAGUUUCGGAGCCAGCCGUUGGGGUGGGAGGUGCUCUGCAACUUACGACUUAUCCUAAGGCAUGCUCACCGUUCCUGCUGCCGUCCCAGCCAUGGCCUCCUCAGGGCCCUGCCCACAACUCCUGUCGUGGCCAAGGAAGAGAAAUGAUGCCUGAGGGGUGAAAAGGAAGAAGCCAGGAAACACUUCCCUCAUGCUUUAUAUCAAAUAGGCCUUAUUUGCUCAUCAAAUAAACAGAAAUAAACCAAAAAUGCCAAAGAGAA